rnacentral:misc_RNA from 1 species
GAUGAAGAACGCAGCAAAAUGCGAUAAGUAAUGUGAAUUGCAGAAUUCAGUGAAUCAUCGAAUCUUUGAACGCACAUUGCGCCCGCCAGUAUUCUGGCGGGCAUGCCUGUUCGAGCGUCAUUUCAACCCUCAAGCACAGCUUGGUGUUGGGACUCGCGUUAAUUCGCGUUCCCCAAAUUGAUUGGCGGUCACGUCGAGCUUCCAUAGCGUAGUAGUAAAACCCUCGUUACUGGUAAUCGUCGCGGCCACGCCGUUAAACCCCAACUUCUGAAUGUUGACCUCGGAUCAGGUAGGAAUACCCGCUGAACUUAAGCAUAUCAAUAAGCAGGA